CUGCACUGUGAUUCAACUGGAGAAAGGAUAAAGUGUCCAAACACAGAGAAAAACUCCUGCUGAAGCGACUGAUCUCCACACUGUUAUAAAGAUGGUGUUUAUUAAAGAGGAGAGUGAAGAUGUGAAGAUUGAAGAAACAUUCAGAGUCAAACAUGAAGAUCUGCAGGAACAAACAGACCUAAUUGAAGAGAAUGAGGGGAGUAAAGAGGAGGAACAUCAUGUCAAAAUUGAGGAAAAAACU